ensembl:misc_RNA
UUAGGCCAUUACCUAUAGCUGAGGAGCUCCUAGAAGAUCAAAACAAGUUAGAUCCUGUAGUACUGGCCAAAUAAACA